UACACGCGGACACACAAACUAAACUAGGGUUUCUCUCAUCUCUCAUUUGGUCCGCCGCUCAAUUCCUCUCAUCCUCUGCUCUCUCUCUAUGACGACUUCAUCAGGCCUCUCUCUCAGAUCUCACCAGAUCUGUGAGGAUUUCACCAGAUCGAGAGGGUUUGCCAUUUCAUCCAUCUCCAUGCUUCUCUCUCAAAGAAAAUCUAGGGUUUCUCUAGGCGGAGCCGAGCCACUGGCUCACUGCGACCUCGUCGGCGGUUUGAUACUUCCAUGGAACCAAAUAGUCCGAGCCAUGUAGGCUGCUCAUAUCACCAAAUCCGGAUUCAGUGACACUCUUUUCGUUUUCGGGAGUGAAGAACAAGCAGAUCCGGUAUCCUGUAUGUUCGUAGACCUCAUAUCACCCCGGUAUGUAUUUGGUAUUUUUGUAGAUCUAGGGUUUUUUUGUAUUUUUCAGAUCCGUAAAAUGAUGAUUUGGGAAAUACAAAUCAAUGCAGAACUUGAUUUCGUUUUCCUCAGGUUAACUUUUUCUCUGUCUGCAUGUUCACUGAGUUUUGUGUCAGAUUUGUGUCUGUAAUGUUACGAUUUUGUUUAAUAAUGUGUGAUAGUGAAUGUACAGGUGCAGAUCUGGAGUUUUGAUGCUUUAGUAGAUUUUGAGAUUAAAACGAAAUUAGUGGUUGAAUUUAUUGGUUGAAUUGGUUCAAUGUCUUGUUGAACAAUGUUUAAAAAGAGGAUUAAGUGAAUUUAUUGAGAAGUUUGAAUUGGUUAGUAUGAAAUGCUUGCUGCUUAAAAAUAGAAAAUAAAAAUCAUGAUCCUCUUUUUAAACAUUGUUCAACAGGACAUUGAACACUUUGACAAACAAAAACCAUUGUCUUGUCAACAAAGUGAUGGCAGAAUCAGCAGCAGCCAAAGUGAAAUCAAUCUUCAUAUAUCCAAUAAAAUCCUGCAGGGGCAUCUCUGUCUCAGAAGCACCCCUCUUUUCCACUGGGUUUAGAUGGGAUAGACAAUGGAUUGUUGUGAAUUCCAAAGUUAGAGCCUGUACACAAAGAGUGGAUCCAAAGUUGGCUUUAGUUGAAGUAGAGUUGCUUCAGGGUGCAUUUGCUGUUGGUUGGAAGCCAAACAAGGGGUCUCACAGGUUGAACGUAGUGGGGCGGUAUAGCCCCUUAUAGCGCCAUUAUCGCGCCGGGCACACCACCCCCUUAGGCGCCAUGUUUCAGAAAUUUGGGGGAGGCGCUAUUAUCUUCGCGGCGUGAGGGAGGAAGGUGAUUAAGGUUGGACCAAUCAAAAAAAGGUUAAUGUUUUUAUAAUUAUUUAAUAAAAACGAAAAUUAAUAAUUAGGUAUUGAUGGGUAGGGGCUUUAUCACUACGGGCUUAAAUGCAUAACGCCCCAUAACGCCCACCCGCACACGUGGCGCGCCACAUGUCGCAUAACGCCCCCAAAAGGGCUUUAUGACUACACAUGGCCUUAGGUAAAUGACACUCUCAAAACUUUUUUUUAAUUAAGAUGAUAUAGCUUUGGAUUGGGCUUAGGAUGGCCCCACGUCUCCCUCGUUAGAUAUAAGAGGGGAGUGUGGAUCAACUUUUAAACGAUUUCUCUUCAGCUGAAUACUGAAUAUUAUAGGCACAAAUUGCAGUAUGAAAGUACUGUACUUAUGUGUAUGUAGCUUAGAUUGAUAGGUAUUGUGCAUAUGUGUAUCUAUUUGUUUUUUACAUUAAGGGUAUUUUAGACAUUUAAUAGUUUUUGCAUAUAUGUAUCUGUUUGUUUUACAUGAAUGUUUUAUUUGAAGCUGGGGUACGGUUAAGAAUUCGCUGCUUGCUGGUUCACAUAAGAAUUCUGAGGUAAAAAGUAACAAAACCGUACCCCACAUAGGUAAAAACAGUUUUAAUGAUGACCCAAGGAGUUAUCUUUCAAAACGUGGUACAAUUGAUGAUGCACAAGGUACAAAAGGUGAUACGAGUAAUCCUGAAAAUCCGUCAUGCCAGCAAGUACCAUCAAUGAACCACAGACAGUUUACAGUUCCGGUUCCACUGGACCUAAAUGUUGGGGUUCAGGACCAUCUGUCUCACCCGGAUACUUUGGACUGAAGAUUGGUUCACCUCAGCAGCCGGAUUUAGCGUUGCAGCUCUGAGUCUGUGUCGGCUCUUGUGUUUGGCGGUUAAGGAGGUUGUGGGUCAUCUGGUAAUGGAUGCAAGUUAGUCUAUAGUGUAGGAAACUGUGUACAGAUUAAGGAUCUCCUUGUAACUUUGUACUCAAGAUUGAUUGUAGUAUGAUGAACCUGAACUAGAAAUAAAAAACACCAGCAUUGGUUUUUUUUUUCUGCCAUUUUUUUGGCAUAAGUUAUUGUUGUAUGUAGGGAACCUUGAAAAUUUCACUUUGAUGUACUAUACUCUUUAAAACCUACCCUUUAAUGCAUCUUACAUUCAAGGUUAGUUUUUGCUA